AAUGAACGCUGGCGGCGCGCCUAAUACAUGCAAGUCGAGCGAGAAGACGUAGCAAUACGUUUGUAAAGCGGCGAACGGGUGAGGAAUACAUGGGUAACCUACCCUCGAGUGGGGAAUAACUAGCCGAAAGGUUAGCUAAUACCGCGUACGCUUCCGGGUCUUCGGAUUCGGAAGGAAAGCCGUGCCGUGGGCACGGCGCUCAAGGAUGGGCUCACGUCCUAUCAGCUUGUUGGUAGGGUAACGGCCACCAAGGCUCCGACGGGUAGCUGGUCUGAGAGGACGAUCAGCCACACUGGCACUGCGACACGGGCCAGACUCCUACGGGAGGCAGCAGUGAGGAAUAUUGCGCAAUGGGCGAAAGCCUGACGCAGCGACGCCGCGUGGGGAUGAAGGUCUUCGGAUUGUAAACCCCUUUCGGGAGGGAAGAUGGGACGGGCAACCGUUCGGACGGUACCUCCAGAAGCAGCCACGGCUAACUUCGUGCCAGCAGCCGCGGUAAU
rnacentral:rRNA from 1 species